rnacentral:rRNA from 1 species
UGUUGCACAACCCGGUGGAGCAUGUGGUUUAAUUCGACGAUACACGAAGAACCUUACCUGGACUUGACAUAGUAAGAACUUUCUAGAGAUAGAUUGGUGUCUGCUUGCAGAAACUUAUAUACAGGUGCUGCACGGCUGUCGUCAGCUCGUGUCGUGAGAUGUUGGGUUAAGUCCCGCAACGAGCGCAACCCUCGUCAUUAGUUGCUAACAGUUCGGCUGAGAACUUUAAUGAGACUGCCUACGCAAGUAGGAGGAAGGUGAGGAUGACGUCAAGUCAUCAUGGCCCUUACGUCCAGGGCUACACACGUGCUACAAUGGGGUAUACAAAGAGCAGCAAUACGGUGACGUGGAGCAAAUCUCAAAAAUAUCUCCCAGUUCGGAUUGUAGUUUGCAACUCGACUACAUGAAGUCGAAUCGCUAGUAAUCGGUACGCCC